GUGCCAGCCGCCGCGGUAAUACGAAGGGGACUAGCGUUGUUCGGAAUCACUGGGCGUAAAGCGCACGUAGGCGGAUUUGUAAGUCAGGGGUGAAAUCCCGGGGCUCAACCUCGGAACUGCCUUUGAUACUGCGAAUCUUGAGUCCGAUAGAGGUGGGUGGAAUUCCUAGUGUAGAGGUGAAAUUCGUAGAUAUUAGGAAGAACACCGGUGGCGAAGGCGGCCCACUGGAUCGGUACUGACGCUGAGGUGCGAAAGCGUGGGGAGCAAACAGGAUUAGAUACCCCAGUAGUC
rnacentral:rRNA from 1 species